ACGUGCAAUAUACAAUGCUAAACCACGUGGUGCUUCAAGAGAAACAGAAGAUAAGAAAUUGUGCAGUCAGUUUUGAAGCUCUGAGCAAGUGGUCAAACUAUUUGUCUGUAUUGGUGGAGGCUGAAGACAUGAGUCCAUGGACAGGGACUACUGAGGAACCUUCAUCAAGAACAAGGAAGUCCAUACGCUAACUGGCGAUGAUGGUUUGUCCUCUGACAUAAUCUCUGAGGAUGGCUCCACCCUCAACGCUAUAGGCCAUGCCCUCAUCCAGAUGCAGCAAGGUGGACAGACCACCCCCUCAUCUCAGUUCCUCAUCACUAGGAGCACCUCUUCUGGUUCAGAGUCUGGCCAAAAUGUGCUGAGAUACUGCAUGCAAUGGGUCGACCUAUAGCACCCAAGAUGAGCAGGAUAUCAACUAU